rnacentral:rRNA from 1 species
AUGUUCUCCUCGUCCUUGAUCCCAUCAUCCAACAUAACCUCAAGCCUAUUCUCCUUCAUCGUAGACAUAAACAUCAUUGAUAGACUCUUCUCCUGCUCAAGGGCAUCGAGAUUAAAUGGCUUCUUGCAUGCGAGCAGCUCCAGAAGAACAACACCAAAGCUGUACACGUCACUCUUGUCUGUCAGCUGACAUGUUUGCAUGUAUUCCGGGUCGAGGUACCCACAAGUUCCUUGCACAAGUGUGACAAACUGUGACUCGUCGGUUGGUGCAAGGAUGGAGGCGCCAAAGUCGAAGACUUUAGCUUUGUGGUUAUCGUCGAGAAGGAUGUUGAAAGAUUUAACAUCACCAUGGAGGAUCGGAGUCAAAGCCCCUGAAUGA